rnacentral:rRNA from 1 species
UAAGCGGUUGAAGGUGUGUGGUAACGCAUGCUGGACGUAUCAGAAGUGCGAAUGCUGACAUGAGUAACGAUAAAGGGGGUGAAAAACCUCCUCGCCGGAAGACCAAGGGUUCCUGUCCAACGUUAAUCGGGGCAGGGUAAGUCGACCCCUAAGGCGAGGCCGAAAGGCGUAGUCGAUGGGAAACGGGUUAAUAUUCCCGUACUUCUUACAAUUGCGAUGGGGGGACGGAGAAGGCUAGGUGGGCCUGGCGACGGUUGUCCAGGUUCAAGUGCGUAGGCUUAAGAGUUAGGUAAAUCCGGCUCUUUUUAAGGCUGAGACACGACGUCGAGCACCUACGGGUGUGAAGUCAUUGAUGCCAUGCUUCCAGGAAAAGCCUCUAAGCUUCAGAUUGUAAGGAAUCGUACCCCAAACCGACACAGGUGGUCGGGUAGAGAAUACCAAGGCGCUUGAGAGAACUCGGGUGAAGGAACUAGGCAAAAUGGUACCGUAACUUCGGGAGAAGGUACGCUCUCGACGGUGAAGUCCCUCGCGGAUGGAGCUAUUGAGAGUCGCAGAUACCAGGUGGCUGCAACUGUUUAUUAAAAACACAGCACUGUGCAAAAUCGUAAGAUGACGUAUACGGUGUGACGCCUGCCCGGUGCCGGAAGGUUAAUUGAUGGGGUUAGACUUCGGUCGAAGCUCUUGAUCGAAGCCCCGGUAAACGGCGGCCGUAACUAUAACGGUCCUAAGGUAGCGAAAUUCCUUGUCGGGUAAGUUCCGACCUGCACGAAUGGCGUAAUGAUGGCCACGCUGUCUCCACCCGAGACUCAGUGAAAUUGAAAUCGCUGUGAAGAUGCAGUGUACCCGCGGCUAGACGGAAAGACCCCGUGAACCUUUACUACAGCUUGGCACUGAACAUUGACCCUACAUGUGUAGGAUAGGUGGGAGGCUUUGAAGCACGUACGCCAGUAUGUGUGGAGCCGUCCUUGAAAUACCACCCUUGUAGUGUUGAUGUUCUAACGUCGACCCCUAAUCGGGGUUGCGGACAGUGCCUGGUGGGUAGUUUGACUGGGGCGGUCUCCUCCCAAAGAGUAACGGAGGAGCACGAAGGUGGGCUAAUCACGGUUGGACAUCGUGAGGUUAGUGCAAUGGCAUAAGCCCGCUUGACUGCGAGAAUGACAAUUCGAGCAGGUGCGAAAGCAGGUCAUAGUGAUCCGGUGGUUCUGAAUGGAAGGGCCAUCGCUCAACGGAUAAAAGGUACUCCGGGGAUAACAGGCUGAUACCGCCCAAGAGUUCAUAUCGACGGCGGUGUUUGGCACCUCGAUGUCGGCUCAUCACAUCCUGGGGCUGAAGUCGGUCCCAAGGGUAUGGCUGUUCGCCAUUUAAAGUGGUACGCGAGCUGGGUUUAGAACGUCGUGAGACAGUUCGGUCCCUAUCUGCCGUGGGCGUUGGAAGAUUGAAGGGGGCUGCUCCUAGUACGAGAGGACCGGAGUGGACGAACCUCUGGUGUUCGGGUUGUGUCGCCAGACGCAUUGCCCGGUAGCUAAGUUCGGAAUCGAUAACCGCUGAAAGCAUCUAAGCGGGAAGCGAGCCCUGAGAUGAGUCUUCCCUGAUACUUUAAGUAUCCUAAAGGGUUGUCGGAGACUACGACGUUGAUAGGUCAGGUGUGUAAGUGCUGUGAGGCAUUGAGCUAACUGAUACUAAUUGCCCGUGAGGCUUAACCAU